UUUUAUUGUGUUGAUUCUUUUUUUGAUUCUCGGACGCAGAAUCAACUUUUUUUUUAUUCUCAAAUCUACUUCAAAACUGAUUCUCGAAACAAAUUUGUUCCCAGGAACAAAAUUUUUACCAAACACGAUUCUCGUCCCAAACUGAUUUUGGGAACAAAAAAUCAGAAUCAGUCACUGUUUGGCAUGUUGCCAAACAGAGCCUUAGCUCACCACCGAGAGAAAAAGCCCCCUCGACGUGAUCCCAUAAAAACCCCAAUGUGGCCGUGUAUUCCUAUCGUAUGACUAUGGCCCCCUUGAACCCUAUAUAUUUUAACUUAUUUUUAGGCCAUGAAUUAAGGUUUUUAAUCUUUUUAAAUCGGUACCCACAAUUUUUUU
rnacentral:lncRNA from 1 species